rnacentral:tRNA from 1 species
AGUCCUGUAUCUCAGUGGUUAGAGCACUCGCCUCUUAAGCGAGAGACCUGGGUUUGAUUCCCAGCAGGGCGA